rnacentral:lncRNA from 1 species
AGGCACAUUGAGAAAACAUCUAAUUUAAAGAGCAAGGUCAAAAAAUGGAAGACCUUGAUGAAUCAGAGCCAACUUUAAUAGCCUCAAUGGCCUUUCAAAUGACUUGCCCUAAUUAUAAGGAUAUUUGGGCAUACAUUGAAAAACCAAGCACUUCACAUGAAGAUCCUCAUAGCCUACCAAAAAUCCAAAAAGCAUUUGAUUCAUGUCAAAGAAUAAUAGAACUUGACAAAAGUCACUGUUCACAGUGUUUAUUACAUAUACAAGAAGUGGAAAAAGGAGAAAAUAAACUUUGUGGAAUGAAAGAGAAAUUAUCAGAAAUGGAAAAUAUGAAAUCUAAGUUAGAGCAGAGAGAAAUAAAAUGGAAACAAGAACUCUGCCACUUGAGGCAUGAUUUAAAAGAAAAAGAGAAGAAGUUAAGAGAUUUUGAUCAGCUUUUGGAAAAAAUGAAUAACCAGUUAAGAGAAAAAGAUGAGAAACAUAAUAAACAAAUUGAAUUGAACAAAGAAUUUCAACUGUCUUAUGGGACAUUGAAGGCAGAAUUAAAGACUGCAAGAAGUAACUCAAAUCAGGUUAUGCAUUCAAUGAAAUGUGCCUGAAUUCCAGCUAGUUUUAUAUAGUGACGAUUAGCUAGAACUAAGAAGAUAGUCUC